rnacentral:lncRNA from 1 species
GAACUGAUCAAGCUGCUUUGGUAAACACACACACUUUCUGAACCACUUGUCCCAUACAGGGUCACAGGGAACCAGAGCCUACCCGACAACACAGGGCAUAACACCAGAGGGGGAGGGGACACACCCAGGACAGGACGCCAGUCCAUCGCAAGGCACCCCAAGCGGGACUCAAACCCCAGACCCACUGGAGAGCAGGACCCGGUCCAACCCACUGCGCCACCACAUCCCCACUUUGACACUGUCCUUGAGAAACCUACAAUACAGGCUGGUGAAACCAGGAAAGACGCAAUAUUCACUGUUCAGGCAAUAUUGAGAAAGAGCGCUCUCAGGAGGAAAGGAAACAGUGAUGACUGUGGAGUUGGAUUCAGUGACAAGUCCUGGGUUCUGUGCUGUACUAAUUGUAAAUACUCUGUCAAACACAAUAAGACACACACUGACAUAUCUGCA